AACCCAAAACGAGUAGCCCAUUCGGCCAAAUAAAUGGCCCAUCUGAACAUUUCUUAAAAAAUAGGUCCAAUAUGCAGCCCACUAUUCUUUUAAACCGACCCGACCCGUUUUCGUCCAAAAAUCAGCUAGGGUUGCAAACACUUUCAUAAAAAACCCAUCAGCUGCGCGCUCUCUCAUCAUCUCCAUUUUUGGCUAAAACCUUCUACUCUCUUUAGCCACGGACAGAGGUUGUUCACCCAAUUUCUGUGCAAACUUUGACUGGUUUCAACAUCUAUCAGAACCCUUUCUACUCCUUUGGUGAUAUAACGUCCACAUUUCAAAUAUUGAAUCUGGUGACAGAGAUUUCUUCAGCUUUUUCUGUCAUGAUCUGGACUGAUCUUCAAAGGACUAUUUUGAAAUGCAAAUCGGAGACUUUUGAAAUCCCGCGCCUAACAAAAACCCAAGUUCAUCAUUAUAAAUACUAGUUUUGCUACUCGUUUUGGGGGAACUUUUUUGAGCAGCCAUUUUCUUACUCUAAUACUCACAGUUCUACCCUCCAAAAGAUUUCCCUUAAGAAAAUCUAGCUGCUUCUUGCUUCUGUUGGUUGCUUAACCAAAACAGAGGAAUUUUACCUUCGCUCGAGUCAAUGUCGUAGACGGUGUGACCCGAGAUCUAUGCCCCUGUUCGCUGCACUCAAAAAAGAAAAUAGGGGUCAUAAAUCGGGACUCUCUUAAAAUGGAGUUUCAAAAUGAGACUCGAUGCUAUUACCAUACUCGUGCAUGGAGUCAAUACAUCUCAUAUUCUUGAACCCACAAGGAAACGAGAGAAAUUGCUUGGGACCGCUUAUGGCAUCUUUAUUCUUUUCAUUUUAUCUCACCUUUCCUUAUGAUUGCUAAUUCACUCGUGCUUUGGAUAUGUCCUUGUUUUGAAUGGUGUGGGGAACUUAUGAUUUAUAGGAAAUAGUUUUAUCAUUUA